CCUACGGGAGGCAGCAGUGGGGAAUAUUGCACAAUGGGGGGAACCCUGAUGCAGCGACGCCGCGUGAGUGAAGAAGUAUUUCGGUAUGUAAAGCUCUAUCAGCAGGGAAGAAAAUGACGGUACCUGACUAAGAAGCCCCGGCUAACUACGUGCCAGCAGCCGCGGUAAUACGUAGGGGGCAAGCGUUAUCCGGAUUUACUGGGUGUAAAGGGAGCGUAGACGGUUAUGCAAGUCUGAAGUGAAAGCCAAAGGCUCAACCAUGGGACUGCUUUGGAAACUGUAAAACUGGAGUGCAGGAGAGGUAAGCGGAAUUCCUAGUGUAGGGGUGAAAUGCGGAGAUAUUAGGAGGAACACCAGUGGCGAAGGCGGCUUACUGGACUGUAACUGACGUUGAGGCUCGAAGGCGUGGGGAGCAAACAGGAUUAGAUACCCGAGUAGUC
rnacentral:rRNA from 1 species